UUCUUGGAGGUAUUCAGAG
rnacentral:misc_RNA from 1 species